rnacentral:misc_RNA from 1 species
CAACCCUCAAGCCCUCGUGGUUUGGUGUUGGAGUCCUACAGUCUUGUAGUCUCCCAAAACCAGUGGCGGACCCGUCGCGGCCCUUCCUUUGCGUAGUAGCAUUCGCCUCGCAUCGGGAGCCCACGGGACUUUCUAGCCUCUAAACCCCCCACAAGUCCGCUCCGGCGGCACAA